rnacentral:tRNA from 1 species
AAUAAGAUGCCUGAUUUUUCCAAAAGGGCUAUUUUGAUAGAAUAGAUUAUGUAUAUUUAUACUCUUAUUA